CUUCCGGUUGACAUCUUUGUUUACAUUGAUGAACAGCCGCAUCUUGUGACGCGAGUUAAAUGCAUGGGUGUAAUAUAAGAACGGUUAGCUAAACGUCCUUGUCUAAAGAGCGAAAUAUGUUUGCCACAAGAGUGUUUCAGGAGUGCGGAAAUGUCUUUAAAACGGCGAUAAUCUCCUGUACCUUGCCGAAGCUGCCUUUCCCGAGCAUCUUGUGCAGGACGAAGUCAUCAACGGUGAAUUUGGGUUGGUGCUCCUUCCUGGGAACAGCGUACAGAGGCUCUUCUCUCGGCGCCUCUUCUGUCAGCGCCUCAGUAAUCGACCUGCCGACGUCAGUCGGUCCAUCCCACGACACACCCUGAUAGUCUUCAGGUGUAGCUGUGGCUGGUACAGCCGUUACUAACCCAGACGGAGUUCGGACCACGCCCGGCUGGCCAACACCUACUGGACCUUCUCGACCAAUGAUUUCACUUUCUCUGGUGCUUCUGGCCUGACAAAAGACAAACUCUUUGCAGACGGAGCAGAAGGUCGGUUGAGGGAAGAACGUGGCGCUGAACUCGUGACAUUUGACAACGUGAACUUUAGCCUGUUUGAUGGCCCCUCGCCGCUGAUGGAGGGCGAACAGACCCUCCCUCUCUGGUUCGGACUCUGGGUCUCCCUCAGUAUGACCUGCAGCAUCUGAAACACAUCAUACAACCUUUUAUUGAAAGAACAAUACAUGAAAAAGACAAAUUGUUGAUGAGCGAUUCCUUAAUGCCGGAAAGAUGUCACACCUAGAGUUCGCACAUUUUGUGGCUCAAGAAGUGUUUCUACAUCAGUUUCAUUAUGUCUCUAUCAGCUCAUAUGGAUGAGUCAGUCUUCUCUCUAAUUGUUGCAGUUUAACAGAGACUGUGUCAAGUAUAUCAUUGGAACUUUUGUACUAAGCACCUUCCCCAAAAUGUUAUACUAUUCCUUUUAAAAAAAAAAAAAAAAAAGAAGCAUAAUAUCUGUUUUGAAAGGCGUCUGUGUACUGCUGAAUCAUUUGGUUAGAACACAGGAAGACAAUUUAUUAUGUGUUUGUAUGUAGUUCAGGAGGAAGUUCCACAGAUUAAAUUGUCACAGUGCACCAGACGCUAUGCCACCUGUUGUUUCCAACUUCUAUAUAUAGAAACAUGAGAUGGCUUCUUCCUUUUUGGUUCUCAGUGACUUCUCAGGCCUUGGCAUGGUGUUAAUUUCAGGAAAGCCCCAGUGAAAGGGAUCUAACACAAAGCACACGCACAUCCACAAGGCAUUGUGUGUCAUCCACAAGGCAUUGUGUGUCAUUAAAACUAACAAGACAAGACUAAUGCAAACAAUUUGGAUUGAUGGUCAGUAUUUUAUGAUCACAUUCACUAUAUGUAUACAGUAUUGGUUGUUUUCAAACCUAAAAAUCUAAAAUAUUCCCUCAAAAAAUCACCGAACUGUCACAGUUCACAAAGUAAAAAGUACUGUAAAAAAGUUUUGCUGUUCUCUACCUUGACUUAGUAUAAUAGUGAUUCAACAUACUGUAUAUUUUUACAUUAAAAUAACUGACUUUUGUCAAAGAAUAUUGUACGGUGCACAGGAAAUGACUCACUUCCUUGUUUCCGGUGGCAGCAAUAAUUAGUUUUGAAUAAAUUAAAAAAAGUUAUGCAAAUGAUUUCUGUGACAGUGCUAAGCAUUUAAGGUGAAGAAAAUGUUUCCUUUUUGAGUAGACUUUACAACCUUGUAACUUCAGAUCAUAAAGAUUACCAUCUCUAAUUUUCACUUUCAGUUUAACAGAUUUUGUUUUGGGCAAUUCAUUUGGUCUCAGUUUCAGUUAAGGACUUUUUUUUUUUUUUUUCUUCAUUUGAUGGCAAAACCCUAUGUGUUUCAGCAUAUUGUAGUUGUUCAUGGAGGAGGAGCAGGUGGAGUAACACAGGUUUGAACCACUCACCACUCUUCUCCAGAUAGUAUCUGGCCUCCAUCAGCAGGCGGCCCUGUGGCUUCAGCUCCAGCUGAGACAAAAAAGAAAAACAGAGAAAUAAUUUACCAAAGAAAUUUGUGAGAAAAAAACAUUGAGAAUGAAAAGGGAAGGAUGUGGAUUCAAAAUAUACCCAAACAUAUUUGAUUUGAUCGUUUGAUUCUUAGUUUGGUAUAAGAGGCAGUUGGCAUGAAGCCUCUGGUGUCACCCAAAGCAAAGUCUUUCCAGGAAAAGAAAUUAUCUGGUGCACAAGAAGAGAACAGUGUCUAAUUUCUGACUAGGUAAAAAUAACUUGAGGAAGAACUAGGUAAUUGGCAUGAGCAGUGGUGGCCUCCAUAACAUGGAUAUAAUCUAGAUGUAACUCAGGCUAAAGUGGGAUGAAAAAUAUGACAAGAUGUAAAACUGAACAUCUGUAUGGGGGUCCGGGGCCCUCCUUCUCCAAAUAUGUAUUUUUGCUCUCAUAAUGGUGUACAAUAGAGAGAUGACAAGAAAUGAAGGCAUGUAAAUAAAGCCUUCUGCUGUUUUAUGGGACGGAAACAGAGGGAGAUGCAUGUAGG